CUUAAACUUGAUUAAUUAGUGCCUGAGAUUAGGAAUCUCUAAACACUGUAUGGUACAGAAAAUAAACUGGAAAAUAAAAGACUGAAAUUUAAAGUGGUGAUCCCCAAAUCUGACUUUGCUUUGUUGAAGUUGAUUGAAGAUGCCUUGCCAAAUGAUUAUCCAAGCCUUUAAAUAUUCUCUGGGAAACCGUACCGAAAACCGUCACCCGAACGGUUACAACGUCUCCUUCCCAACCGUCUUCCAACCCUUCUCAUGCUGACACGCGUCCCCAGCAGACCAAAAUUAUCCCUAUAUUUCACUCUUUGAGCCGACCACAGACCUUCCGCUCUUUUGGCCCGACUGCCAAUCUACAAUAGUAUGGGUCCGACUGCCAAUCCUCCCGACUUGCGAACCAUCUGGCUUGAGGUCUUUCCGCCUUGAGGACUUCCCGACCUGAAAACCUUCCGACUUGAGGUCUUUCCGCCUUGAGGACUUCCCGACCUGAAAACCUUCCGACUUGAGGUCUUUCCGUCUUGAGGACCUCCCGACCUGAAAACCUUCCGACUUGAGGUCUUUCCGCCUUGAGGACUUCCCGACCUGAAAACCUUCCGACUUGAGGUCUUUCCGUCUUGAGGACCUCCCGACCUGAAAACCUUCCGACUUGAGGUCUUUCCGCCUUGAGGACUUCCCGACCUGAAAACCUUCCGACUUGAGGUCUUUCCGUCUUGAGGA